rnacentral:rRNA from 1 species
UACGAAGGGUGCAAGCGUUAAUCGGAAUUACUGGGCGUAAAGGGUGCGUAGGCGGUUUUUUAAGUCUGUCGUGAAAUCCCCGGGCUCAACCUGGGAAUGGCGAUGGAAACUGGGCAGCUAGAGUGUGGCAGAGGAUGGUGGAAUUCCCGGUGUAGCGGUGAAAUGCGUAGAGAUCGGGAGGAACAUCAGUGGCGAAGGCGGCCAUCUGGGACAACACUGACGCUGAAGCACGAAAGCGUGGGGAGCAAACAGG